CCUACGGGGCGCAGCAGUGGGGAAUAUUGCGCAAUGGGCGAAAGCCUGACGCAGCGACGCCGCGUGAGGGAUGAAGGUCUUCAGAUCGUAAACCUCUGUCAGCAGGGAAGAACGGUCACUGUGCUAAUCAGCAGUGAAUUGACGGUACCUGCAAAGGAAGCACCGGCUAACUCCGUGCCAGCAGCCGCGGUAAUACGGAGGGUGCGAGCGUUAAUCGGAAUUAUUGGGCGUAAAGGGUGCGCAGUCGGUCCUGCAAGUCUGGAGUGAAACGCAUGAGCUCAACUCAUGCAUGGCUUUGGAAACUG
rnacentral:rRNA from 1 species